rnacentral:tRNA from 2 species
GCGGGUGUAGCUCAAUGGUAGAGCGGUAGCCUUCCAAGCUACUUACGAGGGUUCGAUUCCCUUCACCCGCUCCA